UUGAACGCUGGCGGCAUGCUUUACACAUGCAAGUCGAACGGUAACAGGGAGCUUGCUCCGCUGACGGGUGGCGAACGGGUGAGUAAUGCAUCGGAACGUACCCAGUCGUGGGGGAUAACGUAGCGAAAGUUACGCUAAUACCGCAUACGUCCUGAGGGAGAAAGCGGGGGACCGUAAGGCCUCGCGCGAUUGGAGCGGCCGAUGUCGGAUUAGCUAGUUGGUGGGGUAAAGGCCUACCAAGGCGACGAUCCGUAGCGGGUCUGAGAGGAUGAUCCGCCACACUGGGACUGAGACACGGCCCAGACUCCUACGGGAGGCAGCAGUGGGGAAUUUUGGACAAUGGGGGCAACCCUGAUCCAGCCAUGCCGCGUGAGUGAAGAAGGCCUUCGGGUUGUAAAGCUCUUUCAGACGGAAAGAAAUCGCUGUUUUUAAUACGGACAGUGGAUGACGGUACCGGAAGAAGAAGCACCGGCUAACUACGU
rnacentral:rRNA from 1 species